rnacentral:rRNA from 1 species
UUGGAGGGCAAGUCUGGUGCCAGCAGCCGCGGUAAUUCCAGCUCCAAUAGCGUAUAUUAAAGUUGCUGCAGUUAAAAAGCUCGUAGUUGAAUUUCGAGACCGGUUUAUUGGUCGUGCUUUUGUACGUACUGGUAUUAUUGGUUUCUCCUUUCUGACGAAUCUUAAUGCCAUUAAUUUGGUGUUUUGGGGAAUCAGGACUGUUCUUUGAAAAAAUUAGAGUGUUUAAAGCAGGCUCACGCUUGAAUACAUUAGCAUGGAAUAACGGAAUAGGACGUUUGAUUCUAUUUUGUUGGUUUCUAGGAUCGACGUAAUGAUUAAUAGGGAUAGUUGGGGGCAUUAGUAUUCAAUUGUCAGAGGUGAAAUUCUUGGAUUUAUUGAAGACUAACUACUGCGAAAGCAUUUGCCAAGGAUGUUUUCAUUAAUCAAGAACGAAAGUUAGGGGAUCGAAGACGAUCAGAUACCGUCGUAGUCUUAACCAUAAACUAUGCCGACUAGGGAUCGGAUGAUGUUAAUUUUUUAAUGACUCAUUCGGCGCCUUACGGGAAAC